rnacentral:rRNA from 1 species
UACGUAGGGGGCUAGCGUUGUCCGGAAUCAUUGGGCGUAAAGCGCGUGUAGGCGGUCCGGUAAGUCCGCUGUGAAAGUCAGGGGCUCAACCCUUGAAUGCCGGCGGAUACUGUCGGGCUAGAGUCCGGAAGAGGCGAGUGGAAUUCCCGGUGUAGCGGUGAAAUGCGCAGAUAUCGGGAGGAACACCUAUGGCGAAGGCAGCUCGCUGGGACGGUACUGACGCUGAGACGCGAAAGCGUGGGGAGCAGACAGG